GAACUCUUUGAUAAUCAUGCUUGUCACCGCAUUCAAAGUAUAAUCAGUUAAAUCCACCUGCUGGCUGCUAGUUGACUAGAAAUCAGAGCAGAGUCAAUAAAUUCAUGGAAAUAAAUGUCAUUAUUAAAAUCAAAUGAUGUUAAUUUCUAUGAAAACAAUUUUUCACAUGGUUUUUCCCAUAAAGACCAAAGCUGCUGUCAACCAAUAUCAAAAUUAAAGGUUAUUGAUU
rnacentral:lncRNA from 1 species